CAGUCGCCGCGGGAAUACGUAGGGUGCAAGCGUUAAUCGGAAUUACUGGGCGUAAAGCGUGCGCAGGCGGUUUGUUAAGACAGAUGUGAAAUCCCCGGGCUCAACCUGGGAAUGGCAAUGGAUACUGGCGAGCUAGAGUGUGUCAGAGGAUGGUGGAAUUCCCGGUGUAGCGGUGAAAUGCGUAGAGAUCGGGAGGAACAUCAGUGGCGAAGGCGGCCCCCUGGGCCAACACUGACGCUCAUGCACGAAAGCGUGGGGAGCAAACAGGAUUAGAUACCCCAGUAGUCCCUGUCUCUUAUAC
rnacentral:rRNA from 1 species